UUAGGAAUCUUCCACAAUGGGCGAAAGCCUGAUGGAGCGACGCCGCGUGAGGGAUGGAGGCCUUAGGGUUGUAAACCUCUAAAAGAGGGACGAUAAUGACGGUACCUCUUGAAUAGCACCGGCUAACUCCGUGCCAGCAGCCGCGGUAAUACGGAGGGUGCAAGCGUUAUCCGGAAUCACUGGGCGUAAAGGGCGCGUAGGCGGUCUGUUAAGUCCGAUGUUAAAUCCCGGGGCUCAACCCCGGAUAAGCGUUGGAUACUGGCAGGCUAGACGGUUGGAGAGGCGAGUGGAAUUAACAGUGUAGCGUUGGAAUGCGUAGAUACUGGUAGGAACACACAUUGCGAAGGCAGCUCGCUGGACAACACGUGCCGCUGAGGCGCGAAAGUGUGGGGAGCAAACC
rnacentral:rRNA from 1 species